GACGAACGCUGGCGGCGUGCUUAACACAUGCAAGUCGAACGGAAAGGCCUCUUUCGGGGGGUACUCGAGUGGCGAACGGGUGAGUAACACGUGAGUAACCUGCCCUUGACUUUGGGAUAACUUCAGGAAACUGGGGCUAAUACCGGAUAGGUGCUCCUGCUGCAUGGUGGGGGUUGGAAAGUUUCGGCGGUUGGGGAUGGACUCGCGGCUUAUCAGCUUGUUGGUGGGGUAGUGGCUUACCAAGGCUUUGACGGGUAGCCGGCCUGAGAGGGUGACCGGCCACAUUGGGACUGAGAUACGGCCCAGACUCCUACGGGAGGCAGCAGUGGGGAAUAUUGCACAAUGGGUGGAAGCCUGAUGCAGCAACGCCGUGUGCGGGAGGACGGCCUUCGGGUUGUAAACCGCUUUCGCUCAUGACGAAGCUUUGUGUGACGGUAGUGGGUAAAGAAGCACCGGCUAACUACGUG
rnacentral:rRNA from 1 species